UUUCCCAGCGUGCCUCAGGGGUGGAGGUGUAUGAGGGGGGUUGAGUCUGUCCUGCUGCCCUGUCAGGUACCAGCUGAUGUUUCCAGGAGCUCCACAUCAGCAGUGUGGGACUGUGAGGAGUUCAGGAACCCAACAGUUCACCUGCGUCUACAGAGCAAUGACGAUCUUAGUGGUCAAAACGAUCGUUACACCAACCGAACAUCAAUGUUCACCGACGCUCUGCAGACUGGAGACCUCAGCCUCACUCUGAGGAACCCCAUAGUCUCUGACAGUGGAACCUACUGCUGUAUCGCCCUCAGGUUUGGAGACAGGCUUUGCCAGACUGAAGUACAGCUGAAGGUCUCAGUACCUCCUCCAGUGUGGCCCAAAGUCCUCUCAGCUGUGCUGCUGGGUACUCUGAUCAUCCUGGCUGCUGCCUUUGGUCUGUUUGUGUGCCGUGCAUAUGUAAGGAUGGAGAAGAGAAGUGAAGCUCUGCAACAAGAGGUGGUGGAGGCACCACAGGGGGAGGAGUCUGUCCUUCUACCCUUUAAACCCACAGCUGACCUUCCUCAGGACGUCACAGUGGAGUGGACACACAACAACAGGAAGGUCCACGUGUAUGAGAGUGGAAACAAUCAGCCAGAUAAACAGGACCAGGGUUACAGAGGUCGCACAGAGAUGAAGGAAGAUCCACUGAGAACUAAAGACCUCAGUCUGACCCUGAAACACCUCCACCUCACUGACAGUGGAGUCUACACCUGCACCAUCAAGAAGGAUGGACACAUGCUGCUACAGAAAUCAGUGGCUCUCAGUGUCACAGUUCCUCAGCCAGAGAAGAUGGAGGUAGCAGGGGUCAGGACUGUCCAGCUGCCCUUUAAAACCACAGCUGAUCUUCCUCAAGAUGUCACAGUGGAGUGGAGACACUCUGACUAUAACUACAUGAAGGUCCACGUGAAUGAACGUGGAAAAAAUAAGCCAGAUAAACAGGACCAGGGUUACAGAGGUCACACAAAUAUGAAGAAAAAGGAAAUAAAAAAUAAAGACCUCAGUCUGACCCUGAAAGACCUCCACCUCACUGACAGUGGAGUCUACACCUGCACCGUCUACAACAAGGAUGGACACAUGCUGCUACAGAAAUCAGUGACUCUCAGUGUCAGAGCUCUGCAGAAAAAGGUGUUGGAGGUGACAGAGGGGGACGAGUCUGUCCUGCUGGCCUUUAAAUUCCCAGCUGACCUUCCUCAGGACGUCACAGUGGAGUGGACACACAACUACAGGAAGGUCCAUGUGUAUGAGAGUGGAAACAAUCAGCCAGAUAAACAGUCCCAGAGUUACAACGGUUUCACAGAGAUGGAUGAAGAUCCACUGAGAACUAAAGACCUCAGUCUGACCCUGAAAUACCCCUACUUCACUGACAGUGGAGUCUACACCUGCACCGUCUACAACAAGGAUGGACACAUGCUGCUACAGAAAUCAGUGACUCUCUAUUUUAAAGAUGCAGAGAUGCAGAUGGUGGUUACACAAGGGCUAAAGUUUGUAAUGCUGCCCUUUAAAAUACCACAUGACCUUCCCCACGACGUCACAGUGGAGUGGAAACACAACUAUGUGACAGUCUACAAGUACAUAGAUGUAAAUGUUGACUCGCAGCACCAGGAUUACAGAGGUCGCACAGAAAUGAAUAAAGAUGCACUGAAAACUAAAGACCUCAGUCUGACCCUGAAAGACCUCCACCUCACUGACAGUGGAGUCUACACCUGCACCGUCUACAAGGAUGGAGACAUGCUGACACAGAAAGUAGUGACUCUCAGUGUCAGAGCUCUGGAGCCAAAGAUUGUAAAGGUGACAGAGGGGGAGGAGUCUGUCCUGCUGGUGUUCAAAACCACAGCUGACCUUCCUCAGGACGUCACAGUCGAGUGGACACACAACAACAUGCAGGUCCACGUGUAUGAGAGUGGAAACAAUCAGCCAGAUAAACAGAACCAGAGUUACAGAGGUCGCACUGAGAUGAAGAAAGACCCACUGAACACUAAAGACCUCAGUCUGACCCUGAAAGACCUCCACCUCACUGACAGUGGAGUCUACACCUGCACCGUCUACAACAAGGAUGGACACAUGCUGCUACAGAGAGUAGUGACUCUCAGUGUCAGAGCAACCCUGAUGGGCACCAUGGCUGAGAUGCUUCCACAUUGUCUGUGUUACAGGCAGUGGAGUGUACAGCGAGCACAGUCUGACCAGGAACACAGGAACAGGAACCAUGAAGACGUUCCUCUGAUGGAUCUACACAGAGUGUCCUGA
rnacentral:lncRNA from 1 species